GUUUCGCCAAUUCAGCUUGGGGUUGCAGCACUCCCUUUGCACGUAUCGAGGGUUUCAAAUCCGCACGAAGCCAUUCCCGUCCGUCUUCGCCUCCGAAAGACCAUCCUCGCUAAAACAUCCUGCAAGUGACCCGUUGCCCGGUCCACGCGUUUCAGAGAAAAACAAGUUCUCAGUCCCACCACGCAGCCUUGUCAAUAAAUAAGCAAUCUCGCCGAUAAGUUUUGAUCGCGAAUCGUGGAGUCCUUUUCCUGCAUUACCGCUGUCCCUCUCCAGCAGGGUGAUCUCGCCCCUUCGUACUGGGGUCCCCGGCAGGGAAACUUUCCGCUAGUAGACUCCGUUUGUGGUUGCCUCUCAAAUCUCUCCUUAUGUUGUUCCGCACUGGAAUACAAACAACAAUAAAAAGAAGUCAAGGGCCCGGUUAGUUAAGGUCCGCACUGGGGAUGACUUUCUCCGACCCUUACCUCUUGUUCUCGCUGCUUGAUGCUGUGUCAGCGGACACCGAGGAGAAGUUGUUGAUGGGAUAAAAUGAAGGAGGCUGGCUUGUGUGCAGCAUAAACCCCAUCAAUGACCUGUGGGACUGAAUGGCCUGUCUCCAUGCUGUAAACUCGAUGUAACGCACACGGCGGUGUUGGCAUAUAUCCUGACACAACGAGGGCGCUAAUGUGUACCAUCCUCAUGCUGGAACUGAAUCUGACAUCUCAUAAGGAAGGUUCUAAAUAAGACCCUCUAUCAAAUAAUAAUAAUACCCUUGGGUAAUCCAAAUUAUUUCUGUGCGGAAGAUUUUUUUUAGUUUUCUGAAAGGUUCUGUGUCCAAAUGCGUAUGUCCUUCAAUCGGAGAAAAGUUUCAGCUCCCCGCUGCAUAACGAAAGCUGGUUUAGAAUUUCGCUGUACUUAACUCACAGGAAAAUCUCCGACGUUACACCCAUUGUGGCACAGAGCGAGACUGGUGAAUCCUUGAGCAGCAGCAGGUGCAGGCAGCGAGUCCCAGAGCUACACAAGCAGCAAGUGCUGGAGCAGCAUGCUGGCAGUGAGUCCCGAGUAGGGACCAGCGCAUGGGAGGCAGUCCUGGAGCAGCAGAGUGCUGGUAUGGAGCGGACUCGAGGCUUGGAGCAGAGCAGGGAUGGCUAUUGGAAUGGUGUCUGGUGUGGGCAGUCAGACCAUUUGCAAUGGUACUGUGCUGAGCUACUACAAUGUAAUUUUUACUUGAAAUGUUCUACCUGACUGUAAUGUCAAUCCUUGGACGAUGUCUUGUUUCUAUCUUACUUUUAAACUCUGUAAAGUAAUGCAAUUUUUUUUAUUCCUCUUUUGUAUCCAUGAUUUGUACCUAGGUACUUGUACCGAAGCUGGCACUGUAAGAGGAAGACAUUGUAAAAAAUUUUUAUUGUAUUUCUACAAUGGAAUACAUGUGACAAUAAAGGAUAUUAUGAAUCUGA